AACCAGUGCAGACUGGCGCGCCCCAGGGAUCUCUGGGCGAGUAUCUCUUUGAGCGCCUCACUCUCAAGCACGACUAGGAGG
rnacentral:pre_miRNA from 1 species